rnacentral:rRNA from 1 species
CCUACGGGAGGCAGCAGUGAGGAAUAUUGGUCAAUGGACGCAAGUCUGAACCAGCCAUGCCGCGUGCAGGAAGACGGCUCUAUGAGUUGUAAACCGCUUUUGUACGAGGGUAAACGCAGAUACGCGUAUCUGUCUGAAAGUAUCGUACGAAUAAGGAUCGGCUAACUCCGUGCCAGCAGCCGCGGUAAUACGGAGGAUUCAAGCGUUAUCCGGAUUUAUUGGGGUUAAAGGGUGCGUAGGCGGUCGGAUUAGUUAGAGGUUAAAUCCCGGGGCUCAACCUCGGAAUUGCCUCUGAUACUGUUCGGCUAGAGAGUAGAUGCGGUAGGCGGAAUGAAUGGUGUAGCGGUGAAAUGCUUAGAGAUCAAACAGAACACCGAUUGCGAAGGCAGCUUACCAGGCUACUUCUGACGUUGAGGCACGAAAGCGUGGGGAGCAAACAGGAUUAGAUACCCUUGUAGUC